rnacentral:rRNA from 1 species
AGGACGAACGCUGGCGGCGUGCUUAACACAUGCAAGUCGAGCGGUGAUCCUCCUUCGGGAGGUGAUCAGCGGCGAACGGGUGGGUAACACGUGGGCAACCUGCCCCUCACACUGGGAUAACCUCGGGAAACCGGGGCUAAUACCGGAUACGACCUCGAGCGGCAUCUCUUGAGGUGGAAAGCUCCGACGGUGAGGGAUGGGCCCGCGGCCUAUCAGCUUGUUGGUGGGGUAAUGGCCUACCAAGGCGACGACGGGUA